rfam:Salmo salar isolate Sally breed double haploid chromosome ssa02, whole genome shotgun sequence.
UGUAUGCACGAAUGACGAAGUUGCUUUGGAUAAAAGCAUCUGCUAAAUGGCAUAUA